UGCUGCCUCCCGUAGGAGUAAGGGCCGUCUCUCAGUCCCCUUGUGGCCGUCCACCCUCUCAGGCCGGCUACCUAUCAUCGCCUUGGUAAGCUCUUACCUUACCAACUAGCUAAUAGGACGCAAAGCUCUCCUUUAGUGCCGUAGCUUUCAUUUGUAUAUCAUGCGAUAUACUAACUUAUCCAGUAUUAUCAGAAGUUUCCCUCUGUUAUCCCAGUCUAAAGGGCAAGUUCUUUACGCGUUACUCACCCGUCCGCCAUGAGUCCAUUUAGCAAGCUAAACUUCCUCAUAGACUUGCAUGUGUUAAGCAUUCUGUCAGCGUUUAUCCUGAGCCAAAUCGAAUUCCCG
rnacentral:rRNA from 1 species